rnacentral:snRNA from 1 species
UUCAUUCCUGAUAUAGACUAAAUUUGCAACGAUAGGGGGAAGAUUGGCAUGGCCCAUGCGCAAGGAUGACAUGCACAUUUGUGAAGCGUUCCAAAACAGU